GCAGGCUUUUGAGAAACACAUUAGGAGAGGACUCUGCCCGCUGUCUGUCUCACAAUCUGCUCGAAAUAUCUUGGUCAGGAAUCUCAGGAUGUCUAGUGACCCCGAGUGAGGUGCUGCCUUGUAUUCCUGAGCAUCUUUGGAAGCAGGAAGCAGGGAGCAACAGUAGCGAGAGGUAUUCGGAUCUGAGUAUCAGCAGGAAGAAGAAACAGAGGAAGAAGUCCCCCAUAAGGAAGGCGUGAGGAGCACAGGAAGCGCUGUUUCCCUGCCUGAGAUCUUUAUUCUACUAGGUCUUUAUUCUACGUAGCCGUACGCUGUAAGAUUCUGGAAGAGAAGGCUAGGGGUUUAAGGUUGGUAAUCUCUCAGAAGAUCUGCGUCUCGGUGACGGAAAAAACUAAGGAUACUCACAGAUGGAAUUCUAAACUGGUAGCAGACCCUGAAGGACAAUGUCACCAUCAGAACCACCAACAAGGACAAACUGUCCCUCUCCUGCAUCACCCUGCAUACCAUCUGCAUCCACAAAAAUGCUCAUUCUUCAACAAGCCU
rnacentral:lncRNA from 1 species